rnacentral:lncRNA from 1 species
AGAAAUGUAGCUUGCUAUAAGAUGAAUGAAUAUAUUAGGCUGCAAUUUACACAGGGCGCGCUUAAGUGCAGGUUUGCCCUAACCUCUGAUUAUCAUCAUAAAAUGAUUUCUCACCAUGACAUGGUAAAAAUAAACUUGUUGGCCCCAUUUCCCACAAAAUCCAAUUCGCAUCCCCGAAGAUUCUGAUUUUCUAAAUAUAAUUCAAAUUCAAAUGUACCUAUAUGGAUGUAUAUGGAAAUAAAAUCUAGGAUUAAAUACUAAAUAUACCUGUUUGGUUGUUAAAUUGGGGAAUGAUUCCAAAACUCUGUGUGCAUAUAUCGGAUGAUAUCCAACCGAAAUAAUCCAAGACAAAAGCAGCAAUAACACAGAGAAGAAGCAGAUCACAUACCAUCCAACUUCCUCCGGUCCUUGAAGUGACUACCCUAGGGUUGGUUCGCUGCUGUCUGCGCGGCUAUUGGUAGUUGCCGGGAGCAGGAUGGAGGAGCGGCGAUGCCGGAGGCGGGGCCAGGCAAGAGUGACGACGACCUAGGUUUGGCUGUAGCCAUGGACCCAUGGUGGUUGUGGUGGCGAGAGCAACGGAGCAAGGAGAGAGCGGAGAGGCGGAGAGGGGAGGAGACGCGGCGGAGGUGAAGCCGGCAACCAGGGCAGCAAUGGGGGAAGAAGAUGC